rnacentral:rRNA from 1 species
CACGCCUACGGGAGGCAGCAGUGGGGAAUAUUGGACAAUGGGGGGAACCCUGAUCCAGCGACGCCGCGUGAGUGAAGAAGUAUUUCGGUAUGUAAAGCUCUCUCAGCAGGGAAGAAAGAAAUGACGGUACCUGACUAAGAAGCCCCGGCUAACUACGUGCCGGCAGCCGCGGUAAUACGUAGGGGGCAAGCGUUAUCCGGAUUUACUGGGUGUAAAGGGGGCGCAGACGGCAAUGCAAGCCAGGAGUGAAAGCCCGGGGCCCAACCCCGGGACUGCUCUUGGAACUGCAUGGCU